rnacentral:tRNA from 1 species
ACCUUCGUGGUGUAGUGGUCAGCACGUUCGGCGCGUAUUCGAGAGGUCCGCGUUUCGAAUCCCGGCGUGGGCA